CUUUGUGAUGACCGGAUGUUUAGUAAUGAUUUAACGUACCGAAGCGCUCUCAUGAUCAUCUGGUACUCCGUGAAUCUCUCCUUGAGGACCACCAUCUCCACCGGAUCGACGGGGGGAGGCACUUUGAUUCGCCCCUCUUUGGACUUCGCGACCGGGUCGGUGCGGGACUUUCUGCCCCGGACUGCCUCCACGAGCACGGCGCUCCUGGGUGCGAGGAGCCGGGCCGCCUGGACGCUCCUCCCGCCGAUAACCUGGAACAUGUCGGCGUCAAAAAUGUGGUAACAGAGUUCAGUGGGAUUCUUGGUGUCAGCCUGGUGACUGAUGAUCCUGCUGAGGCAAGGCAACAAGACAUUAAAGAUACAGUUAGCUUGCCAGGAACAAGGAAUGAUGGGAAAUGGUGCAGUGCCGCUGUGUGCCAUUCCUGUGACAUUGAGAGCUGCCAUUUCUCAAUUGAUGACAAAGACCAAAAUAAAGUGACAACGCGUGGAAUUUGUGCAGGUGCACAGCUGACGGAGAUGAAAGAGAUGCAAGAUUCAACCUUUAAACUGCCAUUUAUCAGGGAAGACAACAAAGGGAGUCAAUGCCAUUAUGCUCCCUGUCGCCCUACAGUCUGUGUGUACGACUCAAAAUAAACAUAAUAAAACCCUG